rnacentral:rRNA from 1 species
GAGUGGCGAACGGGUGAGUAACACGUGGGUAACCUGCCCAGAAGUAGGGGAUAACACCUGGAAACAGAUGCUAAUACCGUAUAACAGAGAAAACCGCAUGGUUUUCUUUUAAAAGAUGGCUCUGCUAUCACUUCUGGAUGGACCCGCGGCGUAUUAGCUAGUUGGUGAGGUAAAGGCUCACCAAGGCAGUGAUACGUAGCCGACCUGAGAGGGUAAUCGGCCACAUUGGGACUGAGACACGGCCCAGACUCCUACGGGAGGCAGCAGUAGGGAAUCUUCCACAAUGGACGCAAGUCUGAUGGAGCAACGCCGCGUGAGUGAAGAAGGGUUUCGGCUCGUAAAGCUCUGUUGUUAAAGAAGAACGUGGGUAAGAGUAACUGUUUACCCAGUGACGGUAUUUAACCAGAAAGCCACGGCUAACUACGUGCCAGCAGCCGCGGUAAUACGUAGGUGGCAAGCGUUAUCCGGAUUUAUUGGGCGUAAAGCGAGCGCAGGCGGUCUUUUAAGUCUAAUGUGAAAGCCUUCGGCUCAACCGAAGAAGUGCAUUGGGAAACUGGGAGACUUGAGUGCAGAAGAGGACAGUGGAACUCCCAUGUGUAGCGGUGAAAUGCGUAGAUAUAUGGAAGAACACCAGUGGCGAAGGCGGCUGUCUGGUCUGCAACUGACGCUGAGGCUCGAAAGCAUGGGUAGCGAACAGGAUUAGAUACCCUGGUAGUCCAUGCCGUAAACGAUGAUUACUAAGUGUUGGAGGGUUUCCGCCCUUCAGUGCUGCAGCUAACGCAUUAAGUAAUCCGCCUGGGGAGUACGACCGCAAGGUUGAAACUCAAAAGAAUUGACGGGGGCCCGCACAAGCGGUGGAGCAUGUGGUUUAAUUUCGAAGCUACGCGAAGAACCUUACCAGGUCUUGACAUCUUCUGACAGUCUAAGAGAUUAGAGGUUCCCUUCGGGGACAGAAUGACAGGUGGUGCAUGGUUGUCGUCAGCUCGUGUCGUGAGAUGUUGGGUUAAGUCCCGCAACGAGCGCAACCCUUAUUACUAGUUGCCAGCAUUAAGUUGGGCACUCUAGUGAGACUGCCGGUGACAAACCGGAGGAAGGUGGGGACGACGUCAAAUCAUCAUGCCCCUUAUGACCUGGGCUACACACGUGCUACAAUGGAUGGUACAACGAGUCGCGAGACCGCGAGGUUAAGCUAAUCUCUUAAAACCAUUCUCAGUUCGGACUGUAGGCUGCAACUCGCCUACACGAAGUCGGAAUCGCUAGUAAUCGCGGAUCAGCAUGCCGCGGUGAAUACGUUCCCGGGCCUUGUACACACCGCCCGUCACACCAUGAGAGUUUGUAACACCCAAAGCCGGUGGGGUAACCUUUUAGGAGCUAGCCGUCUAA